GACAGGACGUGCUAUUACACAGCUACUGACAGGACGUGCUAUUACACAGCUACUGACAGGACGGUUGAUGACACACACACAUCUCUGAACCCACCCAGCAUCCACCCCCCCCAAACACACACACACACCUAUCUAUCCAAUGUCCACACAUUUGUACUCUCUUCUAUUUAUUUCUGUUGAUUUGAGUUUUGUCAUUAUGAUUCUUUUUUUAUCUCGAUAUUCUCUGUUGUCUGAAAGUAAGUUGGUUUGUGACGUGAAGUUCUGCAGCCCUGAAGAAGGAGAACAGCGUGUGUAUCGAGGUGUAAAACAUGCGUGUGUAUCGAGGUGUAAAACAUGCGUGUGUAUCGAGGUGUAAAACAUGCGUGUGUAUCGAGGUGUAAAACAUGCGUGUGUAUCGAGGUGUAAAACAUGCGUGACUGUCGUACCUGUCAUUCUACAUGUAUGACCUGCCUGCCUACCAAGGACACAUAUCUGUACAUAUUAAUCAAUACUAUUUUUACUGCAUUUUUGUACAAAUAUUCAUGGUAGCCAUGUGCAAGUAGUUGAACGGAUUCUACUGUAGUUAAUAAAAUAGUUUUGGUUUUGAA